ACAUCGGUAGCACAGUGGUUAGUGCAGUCUGCCGGAAAGCAGAAAGACNCAGAAAGACGCGGGUUCAAUUCCCGUCCGAUGUC
rnacentral:tRNA from 1 species